GUCUAUGGCCAUACCACCCUGAACACGCCUGAUCUCGUCUGAUCUCGGAAGCUAAGCAGGGUCGGGCCUGGUUAGUACUUGGAUGGGAGAAAUGUACUCAUUACCUGACUUAUGUAACUGUAACCC
ensembl:rRNA 5S_rRNA 5S ribosomal RNA